CUUUUCACAUCUGCAAGGACACUUGGAGGCAACUGCCCAAGGCCACUCUGAGGAGGGUUGAAUGUUCUUUAUUAAAAGGACUGAGGAUCAUGUGUGUUGGUGGGCCUUGGACUCUGCUCUAAGACUCAUGGAGGCAACCACUCAAGGUCACUCUGAGAAGGGUUGAACGUGCUUUAUUAAAAGGACUGAGGAUCAUGUGUGUUGGUGUGUCCCGGAGUCUGCUCUAAGGAAGCCUCUGAUUAGGGCCCGGAACCAACUUCCUUUUCGCAUCUGCAGACUCAUGGAGGCAACCACUCAAGGCCACUCUGAGAAGGGUUGAACGUGCUUUAAAUUAAAAGGACUGAGGAUCAUGUGUGUUGGUGUGUCCUGGACUCUGCUCUAAGGCAGCGCACUCACCAGGAGACAGGAAAGCUAGAAGCACCGCUAGGGCCCACUGCAUGCCUUCCUCUCUGGGGCCUUGGAAGGAAAGGGACCAGAUGAAGAGGAGCAGAAGAUCCUCUUAAAACUCAGGUUCCACUCAACAAGGAAGUGAUCCCUAGCACAGAAGACAGUAGGAGGAGGUGGUCUUCCUGAGACACAAGCAGAGGGAAGUGACUGAGGAUCUGUCUAAGAGGACUCCCAAGCCUUCCUCCCUCCCAGAAGGGUUGGUGCCUGGGAGGACCUGCAGAGGAGCCCCUGCCUCUCUGCUCAGGUCCGUUCUCCGGCGCCCUCUUGUGGCAGCUGAGAGCAGGCCCUCUGCAGAAGAGAGCCAGGGGCAAGGAGA
rnacentral:lncRNA from 1 species